rnacentral:lncRNA from 1 species
UCACAUGUAAAAACAAAACUAAUUACAAUAUUUCUUAUAGUGACCUAAAAAAAUGUAGAAUAAUACGGAUCAUGACAAAUAAAGAGUUAUUUAUACAUAAUUUAUAAAGAGUUAGGGGGAAAUGAUAAAAUAAAUGGAUCAUCCAUCAAAAUUCAAACAAAAGUUUACAUUCAUCUGCUGAAACUGAAACAUCUUGGUUUGUAAAGACUUUGCUGUAUAUGGGACCAAAGCAAAGCCUGCAGGCUGGAACCAAGCAACUCUCCCACUUCAUGAAUAUGACUUCCAACUAUAUAUAAUAACUGAAGAUGAAUUACCUUUCAUGAAAGUGCAUAUCCAAUUUGCAGGAGUUGAAAGGUUGAGAAAUCAGGAUGCAAGAAAUCCAACCCGGGCAUCGAUAUCCCCAACGAGUUCUGAUGAGCAAGAAAAAAGAUUGCAGGACUGAAAGCAAAAGAGAGAGCAUCAAGGAAGAAGAAGAAGAUGGUAGUGAUAGGGGCCAUUUUGAAACUUUGGGUCUAUCAAAAUGGUUUGGAGAAUUAAUUUUUCUCUGCUCUUUAUAUAUAGGUGGUUCUUUUUUUUUUUUUUUUGAGUUGGGCGUUGCUAAUGGUAGUUGAAUUUGUCGCUUGGAGUGUUUGCUUUCCAAAAAAAAAAAAAGGGUUCCUUAGAGUGUUUAGAUGCUAGCCAUGGUGAAAGCUUUGAGGAAAAUGAUGGAAGUGAUAGCUAGGGUUGCUUAUGCCUGUGGGAAGAGUGAUGGAAUGAAUGUCUUGAGAGUUCCUGCCUACAACACUACCAGUGGGGGACAAAAUUUGUGUUAGGAUAAGGGGGAAAACACUAAUUAAUGUACUGGCUGCCAAGUUGUCACGUCUUGAUUCUUGCAAGUUGCAAGGUCAUAAAAAUAAUUGUUGAAACUAAUGAUUACUAAGGGG